rnacentral:rRNA from 1 species
GGGAAAGGUGAAAAGCACUUCGAACAGAAGAGUGAAAUAGUCCCUGAACCCAUACGCCUACAAGCAGUCGGAGCCGCUUCGUGCGGUGACGGCGUGCCUUUUGCAUAAUGAGCCUACGAGUUACUCAUCACCAGCGAGGUUAAGUACUUCAGGUACGUAAGCCGAAGCGAAAGCGAGUCUGAAUAGGGCGUCAAGUUGGUGGUGGUAGACGCGAAACCUUAGUGAUCUACCCAUGGGCAGGGUGAAGGUUUGGUAACACAAACUGGAGGCCCGAACCGGUAAACGUUGAAAAGUUUUCGGAUGACCUGUGGGUAGGGGUGAAAGGCCAAUCAAACUGGGAAAUAGCUCGUACUCUCCGAAAUGCAUUUAGGUGCAGCCUCUGUUGUUUUGUUCUAGAGGUAGAGCUACUGAUUGGAUGCGAGGGCUUCACCGCCUAUCAAAUCCGGCCAAACUCCGAAUGCUAGAACAUGAAGACAGGGAGUGAGCCAGCGGGUGCUAAGGUCCGUUGACGAAAGAGGGAGAACUCAGACCAUCAGCUAAGGUCCCCAAUUGUAUGCUAAGUUGGAAUUAAAACGGGGUGGGACUGCUUAGACAGCUAGGAUGUUGGCUUGGAAGCAGCCAUUCAUUUAAAGAGUGCGUAACAGCUCACUAGUCGAGCGGUCCUGCAUGGAUAAUACGCGGGCAUAAGCAUAUAACCGAAGCUAUGGGAUUGUAGAUGAUACAAUCGGUAGGAGAGCAUUCCAUUCAGCAUAGAAGCAGUACCGUGAGGUAUUGUGGAGCGGAUGGAAAAGCAAAUGUAGGCAUAAGUAACGAUAAUGCGGGUGAGAACCCCGCACGCCGAAAGAUCAAGGAUUCCCCGGCAAUGUCAAUCAUCCGGGGGUAAGUCGGAUCCUAAGGGUAAGCCGAGUGGCGAUCCCGAUGGCAAACAGGUUAAUAUUCCUGUACUGAUCAUAACUGCGAUGCAGCGACGCAGAGGUGACACUGCUGCGUACUGACGGAAUAGUACGUUGAAACCCGUAUUCUUUGAUACCGGUAGUGAAGCACGCCGGUAGAGAUGAAAGGUGAUAGUACCGCAAUGCUUCGGUUGCGCGGAUAACGCAGGUAAGCUGACUGCCAAGAAAACCUGCUAAGCUUCAGGUAAUGAUCAUCCGUACUGUAAACGGACACACGUGAUCAGGUAGAAAAUACUAAGGCGCUCGAGAGAUUCAUGGUUAAGGAACUAGGCAAAAUGGUCCUGUAACUUCGGGAUAAAGGACGCUCUUGUGAAAGAGCCGCAGAUAAUAGGCCCAGGCGACUGUUUACCAAAAACACAUGGCUAUGCUAAUUCGCAAGAAGAUGUAUAUGGCCUGACACCUGCCCGGUGCCGGAAGGUUAAGAGGAGAGCUCAGAGGCAACUCGAAGGUUUGAAUUGAAGCCCCGGUAAACGGCGGCCGUAACUAUAACGGUCCUAAGGUAGCGAAAUUCCUUGUCGGGUAAGUUCCGACCUGCACGAAUGGUGUAACGAUCUGGGUACUGUCUCAACCAUGAGCUCGGUGAAAUUGUAGUUCCGGUGAAGAUGCCGGAUACCCGCAACGGGACGGAAAGACCCCGUGAACCUUUACUGCAGCUUUGCAUUGAUUUUGGGUAACAGAUGUGUAGGAUAGGUCGGAGGCUUUGAUGCUGCGUCGUCAGGCGUAGAGUAGCCGUCGUUGAAAUACGACCCUUUUGUUAUCUGAGGUCUAACCCGUUAGGGAGACAUUGCAUGGUGGGUAGUUUGACUGGGGUGGUCGCCUCCAAAAGUGUAACGGAGGCUUCUCAAGGUACCCUCAAGGCGUUUGGUAAUCGUCUGCAGAGUGCAAUGGCAUAAGGGUGCUUGACUGUGAGACCGACACGUCGAUCAGGUUGG